rnacentral:tRNA from 1 species
GGUGAGAUGUCUGAGAGGUUUAAGGAGCAUGCCUGGAAAGCGUGUAUAUUUUAAAAAGUAUCAAGGGUUCGAAUCCCUUUCUCACCA